rnacentral:rRNA from 1 species
GGCUAACGCUGGCGGCGUGUCUUAGCCAUGCAAGUCGAGCGGACUUAUGGGGUAACUUAUAAGUCAGCGGCGGACGGCGGAGUAACACGUAGCUAGCCUACCCUCUGGACGGGGAUAACCUACCGAAAGGUGGGCUAAUACCCGAUGUAGUCAUCCUGUAUAGGGGUGAUGAAAGGUGGGCUUCUGUUUACAAGCUCAUGCUGGAGGAGGGGGCUGCGGCCUAUCAGGUAGUUGGUAGGGUAAUAGCCUACCAAGCCGAUGACGGGUAGCCGGCCUGAGAGGGUGACCGGCCCGAGGGGCACUGAGAUACGGGUCCCACUCCUACGGGAGGCAGCAGGCUAGAAAUUUGGGCAAUGGGGGAAACCCUGACCCAGUGACGCCGCGUGCAGGAAGGAGCCCUUCGGGGUGUAAACUGCUGUCGUGUAGGGAGAAGGGUACUAAGGUGAACAAUCUUAGUACUUGACGGUACUACAGGAGGAAGCCCAGGCUAACCUCGUG